UACGAAGGGGGCUAGCGUUGCUCGGAAUCACUGGGCGUAAAGAGCGUGUAGGCGGCCUGAUAAGUCGGCUGUGAAAGUCAAGGGCUCAACCCUUGAAUGCCGGCCGAUACUGUCAGGCUAGAGUCCGGAAGAGGCGAGUGGAAUUCCUGGUGUAGCGGUGAAAUGCGCAGAUAUCAGGAGGAACACCUAUGGCGAAGGCAGCUCGCUGGGACGGUACUGACGCUGAGACGCGAAAGCGUGGGGAGCGAACAGG
rnacentral:rRNA from 1 species